rnacentral:lncRNA from 1 species
AGACAGGCAACUUAGCAGAAAAUGCUCUCUUUGUUCUCAUUCAAAUGACUUUUUCUCAGAUGACAUCCAUGUUUGAAGCUUUCCACACUCCUUCGAGUCUCCAAGAGCCUUGUGAGAAGAGCAGGAGUUAUUCCGCUGAUCUCCAAAGCUUGCCUCAUCCAAGGGCUAAUCUUCCGGUAUGGAGGACGGUGGAACUCAGGAGGCCGUGAGUGAAGCAGAGAUCUGGACUAGAACCUUGGUUCUGUCCUAAUGCUGCCACAGCUGUCUUCUUUCUGAGUCCUUCUGCGGGGCCUUGCAUACAGUCUACAGGAGACCUUACUUUCUGUCAAUGUCACAGGCCGGGACUCUCAUUUUGAGGCCCAGCAAGGAAAACAGAUUUUCA